rnacentral:rRNA from 1 species
UGCGUAGGCGGAACUAUAAGUCAGAGGUGAAAUCAUACAGCUUAACUGUGUAAUUGCCUAUGAUACUGUAGAUCUUGAAUUAGGUUGAGGUUAGCGGAAUGUGACAUGUAGCGGUGAAAUGCAUAGAUAUGUCAUAGAACACCAAUUGCGAAGGCAGCUAGCUAGGCCUAUAUUGACGCUGAGGCACGAAAGCGUGGGGAGCGAACAGGAUUAGAUACCCUGGUAGUCC